GAUAGAGGCACACACAGGGUCCAGAUCCAGUUUGUGGAUGGAUGUCCCCUCCCAGGUGACAUCCAGGGCCCGGCACAUCCCCCCCCGUGCGUGGGCGUGGCGGGGGGAGUUCGUGACAAUGGCCAGGACUACUGGUGACCCUCCUCUGAGCCGCUGGCCAUGGGGCCCCACAGUCUUUCCUUUCCCCCUUUUUCCUCUCCCUCCCUAACCCUGCACCUUCGGACCUCCUCCUCCCCUCCACCCCCGGCUGUCGGAGCCCCCACGCCCGGAUUGUACUUCAUGCAGAGUAGAAGACAAGAAGACAGUACCUCAUCGCUAAGAGCAUCCUGUGAGAAAAUGAAGGUUAAAAAAGGUUACACAGCUGCUCUCUGGAAUGAAAAUGUAAAGAUUGCUCAGUCAUCAAGUUACUCUGCCUAAACCUCAAGGCUGUUAGCUGGUUGCAGUUCACCUUUCUCUAUUUCCCCAUCUUGCACGUGAAAAGAUCCGUCUGCUGUAUCCAAUUUUGUGGGAGCCGUGUACUGUAUUUAUUGGCUCUGGAAUUGUGCUUGUGAUAUGAUUUAUUAUGAUUGCUUUACAUCUUCGAGAUGAAAUAGGGCUGAAACCUCAA
rnacentral:lncRNA from 1 species